rnacentral:misc_RNA from 1 species
UUUCCGUAGGUGAACCUGCGGAAGGAUCAUUAUUGAAUAAACCUGAUGUGACUGUUAGCUGGCUCUUCGAAGCAUGUGCUCGUCCGUCAUCUUUAAUCUCUCCACCUGUGCACAUUUUGUAGUCUUGGAUACCUCUCGAGGCAACUCGGAUUUUAGGAUCGCCGUGCUGCACAAGUCGGCUUUCCUUUCAUUUCCAAGACUAUGUUUUUAUAUACACCAAAGUAUGUUUAAAGAAUGCCAUCAAUAGGAACUUGUUUCCUAUAAAAUUAUACAACUUUCAGCAACGGAUCUCUUGGCUCUC